rnacentral:rRNA from 1 species
AGCGAACGCUGGCGGCAGGCCUAACACAUGCAAGUCGAACGAACUCUUCGGAGUUAGUGGCGGACGGGUGAGUAACACGUGGGAACGUGCCUUUAGGUUCGGAAUAACUCAGGGAAACUUGUGCUAAUACCGAAUGUGCCCUUCGGGGGAAAGAUUUAUCGCCUUUAGAGCGGCCCGCGUCUGAUUAGCUAGUUGGUGAGGUAAAGGCCCACCAAGGCGACGAUCAGUAGCUGGUCUGAGAGGAUGAUCAGCCACAUUGGGACUGAGACACGGCCCAAACUCCGACGGGAGGCAGCAGUGGGGAAUCUUGCGCAAUGGGCGAAAGCCUGACGCAGCCAUGCCGCGUGAAUGAUGAAGGUCUUAGGAUUGUAAAAUUCUUUCACCGGGGACGAUAAUGACGGUACCCGGAGAAGAAGCCCCGGCUAACUUCGUG